UUCAAGUUGACACCUGCAUAAGAAGAAGUGUCAGCAAUAAGGCCACAUUGGGAGUAGAGAGUGGUGGAGAGAAAGAGAGAAGGUCAGAGAGGUCAGUAAAGUCCAGACCAUGCACAGCUUCAGGUCAGGUGAAGAAUGGGAAGCUAUUGGCAGAUUUUAAGCAGGGGAAUGUCAUGAUCUAAUGUUUUCAAAAGACCACUCUAGCAGGAGUGUGGUGGAGUGAGAGUGGGUGUGGGAAGAGCAGUUAUAUGACCAUUUAAGCGAUCUUAGCAGACAUGAUGGCAGCUCUGCAAUGAAGACCAGGAGAUGAACACGGGAUACAUUUUGGAGUUGUAGCUGAUCGGGCAUACUGAUGGAUUAGAGGGGGGUAGCAGUAAGCAAGGGGUCUUUGAAGAGUUCACCCAGGAGCUUCAAAAUGAGGAACAGUGCUUGCAAUUUCCUUGAAUACUAAGAACAUCCAGCUAUUUGUAGACAGAUAAAAGAGAGCAGCCCCCAGAGGUGCUGAUCCAGCCAAGAUAGCUCAUCCAGUUCUCAACAGGACUAAAGGACUUAUCCUAUGCCUAGUUUUUCACUCCCCUCAGAGGGUCAGGUGAACUGGGGAGCAAGAGGAACUGGCGCCUUUCCCUACUUCUCUUUCAAUUCGUUUAUUGAGGUAACUGCACUGGGGAAAAGAUUAUAUCCAAAACUUUUGGAUUGCUCGACAUUAGAUGUUAACUCUGAGCUAAUACUAAUUUCCAGGGACCCAGAAUGAACUUAUCAAUGGAUAUCAGGAAUGGAGAUGACACAUGAAUAAGCACAGUAACAAGGAUUUCCCCUCACCAGGAUGACGUGGCCUUUGCCAUUGCUGAGAACCCAUUUUGCACGCAAUGUUUUCCCGGAUAAUAAAUGACACAGCUGGGAUUUAUUCAGGUGUUCUGACUCCAAAGUCCUUGCUCCUGAUCACCAUGCGCUACCGACUUUGAGCAGUGAUGUCUCACAGAUGGGAAUGAUUCCUCUGAAGGUGAGUGGUCUCUUCGCGACUCUUCCAGAUCACAUCAUUAAUACGGUCUCUAUAUCGUCUGAUUGGCUACCACCUACUGACAAUUGCAAUCAAUUUGAUUAGCAAGCUGUAUGCAUUAUUGACAUUUCUAAUAUCAUCUGCCCAAACCGCCCUGCACCUUUCACAUCAUUAAUGUGCUGCUCAAAUCUUUGUACUUGCCCUUCAUCAUUGUAUCUUUCACUAACUUACUUCCUCCCUCCAGAAAGAACAGCAUGGUCUCAGCACCCUGUUCAGCCUGGUUCCCACCCCUGGAGUCAUUGCUGCUCCCCUUCCUGCCUUCCAAAACUCCUGAAGUGCUUCUCUCAUUGCUCAAGUUGGCUCUUUGCCAAUCCCAACAAGUGGAAUAACAUAGUAUUUUAUAGUUCAGCUAGAAACUGCUUUUGAAAUGGUGGGAGGUUUUGUGAAAAGAACAGACCCUUACACAUGCAGAAGCAUAUCUGACUAGGUUGUUUUAACUGAGUAAGAGCUUACCACAAACAAAAUGGACUUACUUUAUCCACUUAAUUUUGCACAGUAUUCAUAGCAGGAGGCAUAGUUUUGUUUAAGCAGAAUCUUGCUCGGCUGAUGAUUAUUACUGGUUUGUGAUCAGAAGACAAAACAAUGGGUGUAUCACUUGAAAUACAUAAUAAGCCUCGAAAAUUCUCCAAAUCACUUCUCCUUUUUUUACAACAUGCAGAAUGAGAGAUGAGACAGAGAGAGCAGUAUCGUUGAAGAUUAAACUACCAUUGUCAGCUUCUUAAUAGAUACAGCUCAUCACACAAAUCAUUAAACACAUAGAUUCCAGAAGAGCACAUCUGUGUACUGCUUCAGCAACACACUGAAGGGAGAAUAAAAUAUUUUCAAGGAAAUUGACACCCCAAAUGUUUAUUUCAGUAUUUCCAUUUUUCUCUUCAUUACUUUCUGUUUCAGAGAGAAUAAGUUGAAAAUUGUGAUAGAAAAUUGCAGAUGUUUUCCAAUAGCUUAUUCUAAAAUAUUGAUAGAAUUUAUAAUGAAAAUAUUUUCCCUAUUAGUGCCACCAAAACUAGCUAAGCAGAUGAUUAUUUAAUAAGUAAAAAGCCACACAUAUAGUCGGUUCACAGAAGCUACAGGUGCCAAAAAGGGUACAGGAGGGCUUGAGAAGGGGAAAGGAAGAAGUUUUUAAAUGAAACUGAGAGCUGUAAAAAUCAACCAUUAUAGGCGAGACCAAGCAUCUAUAAAAAUAGCCCAUUGUAUGAAACAGCUUUUAAAAGCAUUGCCCCUGAGACUGAGGACUUGUGGCUAUAAAGACCUAGAUGUAUUUUUAGAAAAUUGUGGCUAUAAUAGA
rnacentral:lncRNA from 1 species